rnacentral:rRNA from 1 species
GAGCGAGAAAGGGUAGCAAUAUCCGAGUACAGCGGCGCACGGGUGAGUAACACGUGGGUAAUCUGCCUCGAAGUGGGGAAUAACACCGGGAAACCGGUGCUAAUACCGCAUAAUCUGAUGGGAUCUGCGGAUUUUAUCAGCAAAGGAGCAAUUCGCUUUGAGAGGAGCCCGCGGCUGAUUAGCUAGUUGGUGAGGUAAUGGCUCACCAAGGCCACGAUCAGUAGCCGGUCUGAGAGGACGGUCGGCCACACUGGAACUGAGACACGGUCCAGACUCCUACGGGAGGCAGCAGUGGGGAAUUUUUGGCAAUGGGGGAAACCCUGACCAAGCAACGCCGCGUGGGUGAUGAAGUCUCUUGGGACGUAAAACCCUUUCGACAGGGACGAAGCCGCAAGGUUGACGGUACCUGUAGAAGAAGCCCCGGCUAACUCCGUG